AUACUUACUUGGCAGGGGAGAUACUAUGAUCACAAACGUGGUUUUCCCAGGGUGAGGCUUAUCCAUUGCAAUCCAGAUGUGCUGACCCCUGUGAUUUCCCCAAAUUCAGGGAAACUCGACUGCAUAACUUGGGGUAGUGGGGGACUGGGUUCGCGCUCUCCCCUG
rnacentral:snRNA from 1 species